UUGUAAUCCCCCUAGGCCAUGUCAGGAGCCGCAGCGGCAGAGCAGAUUGGUGCCAUGUCUGUGCCUGUUACCCAUGGAGGCCUGAAGAGGGCAUAGGAUCCCCUGGAACUGGAGUUAGAGAUGGUUGGGAACCACCAUGCAGCUGAGUAUGUACCAGAGAAGGUGAAGAAAGCGGAAAAGAAAUUAGAAGAAAAUCCAUAUGACCUUGAUGCUUGGAGCAUUCUCAUUCGAGAGGCACAGAAUCAACCUAUAGACAAAGCACGGAAGACUUACGAGCUCCUUGUUGCCCAGUUCCCCAGUUCUGGCAGAUUCUGGAAACUGUACAUUGAAGCAGAGGUUAAUAUUUUACUUAUUUUUUCUUAUAUAGCAUCUGGUGGGACUUACAACUUACACUAUAGUUUUAGAAAAGAAGUUAGGAGUGUAGUAUAAUCAGGACAAGGAGGAUUUAAAUGUCUCUGCCUUUAUUUUGUAAAAUAGGUAUGAAGGAGUAAUUAAAAUGACUUUGAAAUUUGGGUCGUUCACAAGCUGAUGAUUGUUGCAUUUUGGAGUUGCAACAACAUUAAAACAGUUUCAAUGGUG